rnacentral:rRNA from 1 species
AACGAACGCUGGCGGCAUGCCUAACACAUGCAAGUCGAACGAGACCUUCGGGUCUAGUGGCGCACGGGUGCGUAACGCGUGGGAACCUGCCCUUAGGUUCGGAAUAACUCCCCGAAAGGGGUGCUAAUACCGGAUAAUGUCUUCGGACCAAAGAUUUAUCGCCUUUGGAUGGGCCCGCGUUGGAUUAGCUAGUUGGUAGGGUAAAAGCCUACCAAGGCGACGUUCCAUAGCUGGUCUGAGAGGAUGAUCAGCCACACUGGGAUUGAGACACGGCCCAGACUCCUACGGGAGGCAGCAGUGGGGAAUAUUGGACAAUGGGCGAAAGCCUGAUCCAGCAAUGCCGCGUGAGUGAUGAAGGCCUUAGGGUUGUAAAGCUCUUUUACCCGGGAUGAUAAUGACAGUACCGGGAGAAUAAGCUCCGGCUAACUCCGUG